AAUACCGGAAUAGGGAAGUGCGGAAAAUAAAAACCACCCGAUCCACAAAAAUAUCGCAAAACAGCCUUACCUUUCUUUCUUUCUUUCUUUCUAUCUUUCUUCCUAACAAACAAUGGCGAAUCGAGGCAGGGGAGAGUCUUUUGUGUGGACAGAUAGCGAAGUAGAAUUGCUCCUCAAGGUAACAAAUUAAUAAAAUACAAGAAAAUGUGGACUGGGAAUCUGUCCAGGCAAAGUAUGCCGAUAUUCAAGCUCUCUUCAUUGAGCAGUAACGUGAAACGUCUGACGAUUUUCCUCAUCGCAAGGAGGACAUAACCAGGGCCAUCAUCACCAAUAAGCUGAAGCAAAUACGGAGCAAAUAUAGGAAUGCAGUAGACAAGGGUCGUAGAAGUGGUUUUGGCAGAGUGGUUCUUCUAUACUUAGAGCUUUGUGAGCAGGUAUGGGGUGGUUCACCUGCAACGACUGCCACUGCGUCCAGCAUAGAAACCUCAGAUAUUAAUACAGCUUCUAGACAGAUUCUAGUAUUACCGGAAACGUCCGAGGUGUAUGAAGAAUCAGAUGGACCCAGCACUUCAUCGGCGGUGAAGCAGAGAAGAGAUCUACUCCAGGUAUCCUAUGUAAGGCCUAAUGAAGGAGUUCUUACACUAAUGGAUAUAAUGAAAGUACUGUAGGCUAGCUAGCCUAUGCUUGUUGUAUACCGUUAUAUAGGCCUAUGUAGUUUCUCUUAUGUAGGCUACACAACUGCGUGUGGCCAAACAGCCAAAUCACGUAGAAUAAUACACGGUUUCAGAAGUGCACGGGUCCGUGUGGGCCUAAAACAAGACAUUUUUUUACCUCAUGGGGUCCCCCUACAGUUGAAAAACAGUAUUGUCUGUUAGAACUGUCGCAAAAAUCUUUCUGCGUGUGCAUUUGUUGACAAGCCAACAAUAGCCUACUGGUGAAUUUUCUGAAGCUGGCCGUGUAAUGCGCGAUCAACCUGUCUUCAGAACAGGUAAAGUAGCCUUAUAGCAUUUUGUACAUAGCUACAUGAUUAGGCCGAUUGCUUUAGUUAUUUAUUCAUUUUCAAAACUCAGAAAUGAGUUCUGCUCUCUGCAUGUCAGGGCAGGGGGGUGUUAGUGGGUUCAAUGACAAAUCGCAUUGGUGAUUUAUCGCAUCACGGAUAUUGUAACGUGGACCCAGAAUAGACUCCGCAGAUAUAAAGUUUGGUGUAGCCAUAGCAACAGCCUUUAUAAACAACAAGUAGUGAUGUGACGUUUGCGAACGAGCCGAAUCUUUGAACCGGCUCUUUGAAGUGAACGUGUGAGCGGCUGCACUGUCUUUCUCCCUCCCAAACUAGUCUCUCUCAACUUGUUCCAGAUCAAAUAAUCUGAAAUUAAUGGAUACGAAGUAAAUUAAAGCAAAAAACAAAGAAAUUAGGAACUGGCUCGUUCACUCUAAAGAGCCGGUUCACUUGUUCCCUUCAAAGAGCCGGUUCAAAGACUCGGCUCGUUCGCGAACGUCACAUCACUACUUUCUCCCUCCCAAACUAGUCUCUCUCAACUUGUUCCGGAUCAAAUAAUCUGAAAUUAAUGGAUACGAAGUAAAUUAAAGCAAAAAACAAAGAAAUUAGGAACUGGCUCGUUCACUCUAUAGAGCCGGUUCACUCGUUCACUUCAAAGAGCCGGUUCAAAGACUCGGCUCGUUCGCGCACGUCACAUCACUACUCCUAAGUAGAGGUAACAGCAGUAACAGCAGUAACAGCGCCAGGUCACCAUUGGUUGGGCAUCCCUCCUCUUCUUUCAGUUCACGCCAGCUUAUGAAAGCCGGGCCAAUAUUCAUCCUUGUUCGAGCUCUUGUUUUAUCGCUCUCCCAUUUUCUUUUCUUCGUCUCCUGAGACAACACCUUCACCUUCUUCCUUUUCUUUGUCGCUUCAGCCAUGACAACCACGUCUGUGGUAUAAUCUGGAAAUUUACAUACAUACACUUCACACAUACCUCACACAUAUUAGUAAACACCUAAUAGCCUAUUCUUUUUUAUUUUUUUUAUUAUAUCAUUUUUAAAUUUUAAACACCAUGGCAGUGUUUGAUCCUGCGUGAUGUAGCGUAGAGUUUGUGCUAAUGCCCACUCACAGUUAUUGAACAUCUAACAAAUAAAAUUAUCUUCCAUAAUUCAUAAAGGUCAUAAUUUCACUGUUAAUAAUAGUAUAAGUUUCCCUGGGAAAGAUUUGUUCAGAAUUUCUGUGCAGAUAGUUCAGAUUUUAUAAAGUGUGGUUGUAUGAGGCACUUAUCCAUAGUCAGUGUAGUGUAUUAAUCCCAGGCUGAGAGGCAGCAGGACCAGCAGUCCCCACACCAGAGCCUCUCUCCUCUGCUGCUGGCACAGGAGCUCUUAAGCACCUCCUCCACGCCAGGUGUGCUGCACCUCGUUAGGUAAUGCAGCACACCUGAGCAGAUCUACAAGGAGGGAAAAGGGACAGCAGCAAGCAACACAUACACAGCCGUAACUCUGAUAACCCAUUAUGCAACCAUAAUCAAAUUAAAAAAAACUGUCAAUGGGAUAACCACAUUCAGGUGUCACAGUGUAGAUAUCUAAACUCAGGUGCAGGUAACUCCAAUUAUCAGGAAUGGGGUAGUCUUUAUAAGGGUGGUUAACAGCCUCUUGAGCUGGCUGGUAUGGACUUGGUGGGUAAACUCAGUGUAACAGAUGGUGGCAACAAGUACAUAUGUGUCAUGGUUGACUAUUUCAAAUUUGGUGCACCCAAAAGACUGCUAACAGACCAAGGCUCAGGAUUUCACAACAAGGUCAACUACAGUCUGUGUGAGAGACUGAGCAUCAAGAGGAGCCUGUGCUGCCCUUAUCAUCCACAGACCAAAUUGAAUGGCAUGAUACAGAGGUCCCUGAACAAACUGGUGGCUGAGCACUGCAACCGUUGGGACCAGUAUCUCCUGUCAACCUUGUUUGCCCUGAGGACCAAGAAGCAGCUGAUGACACAAUACAGCCCCUAUUACCUGAUGUUUGGGAGGGAGGCCAGGUAUCCCUUGGGGCCAUAUGAAAUAUAUUCUGAGGACAUUUUGUACCUGGCCCCAGGAAAGGAGCUGGAGAGUCAGUUGGCCCUUGACUGUGAUGUGGCAGCGGGAGCAGUCUGUCACUAAGGACACUGGACACUCAUUAUCAUGUACCUUAAGGAGAUGAGGUCCUUGUACGUGGAUCCAUGUGGGGCAAAUUGAGAAGUGCAAACAUGCAACAAGGGCACUGGUUUGCCAAAAGCAUCCUGCCAUUGGGAGAUGGGCAUGUUCUACAGUGGCCCUUCCAAGACAACAGGACACAACGUCAUGCAGUGUGUUUGUGUGCAAGACUCGAACGAUGCCUCUCCUCCUCAAACCGGCAGCAGCAGAGUACCACCCAAGGAACGGAGGAGACAGUGUGAUCUUCAGCAGAUACUGCUGCAGAAGGAGAACAUCAAAGUGAAAGCUUAAACCAAAAAAUUACAGACUGAACAGGAAAAGUUGGAGUUGGAAAAAGAGAAAUUAAAGUUGGAGAUACAGUUGCUCCAACAACAAGUUAUUAGGCUGUCAUCUCGCAUUUCUGAAGAGGAGCGGUCCUACAUGGAUUUGAAUUA